rnacentral:rRNA from 1 species
GACGAACGCUGGCGGCGUGCUUAACACAUGCAAGUCGAACGAAGUGGCGAACGGGUGAGUAACGCGUAAUCAACCUGCCCUUCAGAGGGGGACAACAGUUGGAAACGACUGAUAAUACCGCAUACUGAAGGAGGGGAUUGCAUCGGAUUAGCUAGUGGGGGGGGUAACGGCCCAACAAGGCGAUGAUCAGUAGCCGGUCUGAGAGGAGUAACGGCCACAUUGGGACUGAGACACGGCCCAGUCUCCUACGGGAGGCAGCGGUGGGGAUUCUUCCGCAAUGGACGAAAGUCUGACGGAGCAACGCCGCGUGAGUGAUGACGGCCUUCGGGUUGUAAAGCUCUGUUAAUCGGGACGCGGUACCGGAAUAGAAAGCCACGGCUAACUACGUGCCAGCAGCCGCGGUAAUUC